ACCCCUUCUUUAAGCACAGUGUGAGGGAUUGCACCGUCAUUUUGUAUCCUGGAUUCCAUUUUACUUUGCUGGUUUAUUUUUGGUCAGAAUGGAGAAUUGCUGAACCGUGUGUACUUGAG